ACUCCUACGGGAGGCAGCAGUGGGGAAUAUUGGACAAUGGGGGAAACCCUGAUCCAGCCAUGCCGCGUGUGUGAAGAAGGCCUUCGGGUUGUAAAGCACUUCAGUGGGGAGGAAGGUUGUUGGUUAAUACCUAACAGCUGUGACGUUACCCACAGAAGAAGCACCGGCUAACUCCGUGCCAGCAGCCGCGGUAAUACGGAGGGUGCAAGCGUUAAUCGGAAUUACUGGGCGUAAAGCGUGCGCAGGCGGGUCUGUUAAAGCGAGAUGUGAAAGCCCCCGGGCUCAACCUGGGGAACUGCAUUUCGAACUGGCAGACUAGAGUCUUGUAGAGGGGGUAGGU
rnacentral:rRNA from 1 species